UCCCGCUUGAAUUUAAGCAUAUCAAUAAGCGGAGGAAAAGAAACCAACCGGGAUUGCCUCAGUAACGGCGAGUGAAGCGGCAAGAGCUCAAAUUUGAAAGCUGGCUCGCGUCGGGGGUCCGCAUUGUAAUUUGCAGAGGAUGCUUCGGGUGCGGCCCCUGUCUAAAAACCCUGGGAACGGGCCGUCAGAGAGGUGUUUGAGAAUCCCGUCUGGGAUGGGGUGUCCGCGCCCGAUGUAGAAGCGUACCUUCGACGAGUCGAGUUGUUUGGGAAUGCAGCUCUAAAUGGGUGGUAAAUUUCAUCUAAAGCUAAAUACUGGCCGGAGACCGAUAGCGCACAAGUAGAGUGAUCGAAAGAUGAAAAGCACUUUGAAAAGAGAGUUAAAAAGCACGUGAAAUUGUUGAAAGGGAAGCGCUUGCGACCAGACUCGCCUCCAGGGUUCAGCCGGCAUUCGUGCCGGUGUACUUCCCUGGGGGCGGGCCAGCGUCGGUUUGGGCGGCCGGUCAAAGGCUCCCGGAAUGUAGUGCCCUCCGCCCGCACCUUAUAGCCGGGAGUGCAAUGCGGCCAGCCUGGACCGAGGAACGCGCUUCGGCACGGACGCUGGCAUAAUGGUCGUAAACGACCCGUCUUGAAACACGGACC
rnacentral:rRNA from 1 species